rnacentral:rRNA from 4 species
CAAGGCGACGAUCCCUAGCUGGUCUGAGAGGAUGACCAGCCACACUGGAACUGAGACACGGUCCAGACUCCUACGGGAGGCAGCAGUGGGGAAUAUUGCACAAUGGGCGCAAGCCUGAUGCAGCCAUGCCGCGUGUAUGAAGAAGGCCUUCGGGUUGUAAAGUACUUUCAGCGGGGAGGAAGGUGUUGUGGUUAAUAACCGCAGCAAUUGACGUUACCCGCAGAAGAAGCACCGGCUAACUCCGUGCCAGCAGCCGCGGUAAUACGGAGGGUGCAAGCGUUAAUCGGAAUUACUGGGCGUAAAGCGCACGCAGGCGGUCUGUCAAGUCGGAUGUGAAAUCCCCGGGCUCAACCUGGGAACUGCAUUCGAAACUGGCAGGCUUGAGUCUUGUAGAGGGGGGUAGAAUUCCAGGUGUAGCGGUGAAAUGCGUAGAGAUCUGGAGG